AUUACGAUUUUGAAAAAAAAUCUCGUAAGUUUAUUAAGCACUCUUAAAGUGUCGAUGGUAGGACUAUAUGCAUGUGAAAUCUAUUUUAUUUUUAAUCAUUUAGUAGCUGGGCUCUCUAAAGCAUUAUCUAGCAGUAUAUUUGUUUUGAGCUUCAGCUAGUACUAGGGUUCUUGCUAAUCAGAAGAUCAUGCACACUUUUAUAAGCACUAACUACCAGGACUUCGUACUUAAAUGUGCUUAUUUGAAAUUGUCAAUUCACAUUUGAGAAACAUAUUAUACUGGGUAUUUCAAGUAGGUAUCUACACUUUGGGUAAAAGCUGGGUGGUAUUGCUCAUUUUUUAGACAUUAUUAGAUACUUGGUAAUAUAUAGUGCAUACAGAUAAGUAUAUUUAUAUAUACUUAUAAAUGGAUUGUUCUCUCGCUUGGUUAAUCACUCUCUAUAAGCUAAUUUAUGGUUGGUAACCCAUAUAGUUCAUACUAUUUUGUCCAUUACUUGUAUAUAAAAUCAAACUUGGGUUGUGGUUGGUUAUAUAAUGGUGUAGCCUAUGAGAGGAACCAAGAAUUUACGAGGUAGGUGUGCUGGCAAUCGCAUAGCAGCUCGUGGUAGAGGAGCAGAAACACAGCCUCAAGCACACAUUUUAAGAGACGAGACAAUUUCAUUUUCAGAUGCCUCCACUCAAGGACCGAGUGAGAUCCAUGAGGAGGUGACAAUUCCAACUAAUGAGGCUUCAAUGUCUAACAUUGAUGUCUUUGCAACUCCACCCGAAAAAAAAGUGGAUAGGGACCAGCUAGAAGCAUAUAAUUUGACUGCAUUCACAAAUUUGGCAAAAUAGUAGUGGAAAUUAAGGAUGGCCAAAGAAGAGUAUCAGGCCAGAAUGUGACGAUGUUUUCAACACACGUGACUUGGAUUGUGAAACUUUAUGCAGACAUGCGACAUGCAAGUUGGAGUCGUGUUGAUAAACAAAACAAGGAUGAGCUAACGGAUCGUGUAUGAGCUAAUUUUGUAUUAGAUUGGACCAAAAGCAACCAUCGAGAGAUAGUGGCAAUGACACUUGCUCAAAAAUAUAAUGAUUAUCACUACCUACUGGACUACAAGUACCUUGAGUAUGAUACACAUGAAGCUGCAAUUUCUGGUGGGACAAACUUGGUGGACAAAGCCGUUUGGCAAUGUUUGUGUGAGAGAUGGGGGAGUGAAGAAUUUAAGAACCUAUCAAGGCGGAACAAACAUAAUAGGUCCAAUCAAAGGAUAAAUCACAUGGGUGGCAGGAAGUCUUUUGUUAGGCUAAUGGAGGAAAAGUGGGAACAAGCUUCGAAUUAUGUUACUUUUUAUAAAGAGGUGCAUUGGUCUA